CGGCCCAGGCAAGGGAUCAUUUCUAUAGUUUGUUACUAGAGAAGUUUCUCUGAUCCGGUAGAGCACCCGAAACCAACAGGAUGAGAUACGGCGUUCUCUCCUGAGCAUGAAGCCAGUUCUUGGUGUUACUUCGAUAACUACCAUUUGCCAUUGAUGAUCAUUCUUUUUCUCUCUUUUGGAAGAAUGAAAGGGAGAGAAUGCGAUCUGAGUGGA